GGGAGCCGGGGCUGCUCGAAAUCUGCCUGGACAAGGGGCUGUUAUUGAGGGGCAGCGUGGGGGCGCUAGGGCGGCAGGUGUGCCCCAGACAGCGCUUCACCCCGCAGUAAAUUCCGUAAUUACAGGUCACCAAGUGGGCGCCCCUUUGAAGUGAGAGACUUUCUUGUUGUUCCUGCAGCGGAUACAAUUUGGCUGAGAUAUCAAAUGCAGAUAGUAAAAAUUUAAUUAACAAAUCAAAGCCUUUAUCUGCAGUUUUCAGAACUGUGGCCAACAGUUUCCCUCCAUCUCAAGAGCUCCAGUCAGACGAAGAGAAGAAAGCAGCGCCUUUGUAGCACAUAAAACGGACUCUCCCUCAUGAUUGCUCUCACAGAUAAGGCUUCCAGUGACUGCAAGAGGCUUGGAGGCCCCUGCCAUGGCUGCGUUUUGAAAGCCCUUUGACGCGGGUGCUCUGGUUAACCCUUUAUCUUCAGAGCUCGGGAUGACUCUCACAAGCCAGGCUGGGAGAGAAGGGGAGCCUCUUGUGUGGGGUUACAUCCCCAGGACCAAAAAAAAGUAAACAACCCAGACCUUCUUAUUAGGUACCUAAUGUGGACUCAGUUUCAUGAGGGCCACAGAGAUCAAGUCAUACUAGGUUGGUGCAAAAGUGACUGCGGUUUUUUUCCAUUAAAAGUAGUGGCUAAUAUUACUUACAGCUGCCAACCACUUAAUUGCAGACUCAAAAGGGUUGAGAAUGUGUCCAGACUCGUAAUGCAGACGGAACUCUCAAGAAAAAAGCAAGAGGAAAUUAUGCAGGCAACAUGUAAUUAACAUCCAAUCAGAACAUCCGAAUCCAAAUGUGGGAUCAUCUUAUUGGAAAAGCAAGAAAACACUCCUGCGAUACAGUCCGGAUGAGUGCAGGUUAUAGAUGAAUCUUUAAGAAGAUGCUGUCAUGUUUAUUACAUCCCAUGGUUUCAAAACAUAUUUCCUCCCCCAGAGGUUCAAAGAGGAAAAAAAAAUUAAGAGCUUCAAAAACAACAGAAUUGCAGGCCUUCAUUUAUUUUUACAGUUCACUGGGUCUGUAAUGUAUUAAACAUGAGAGGCUCCUCUAGACCAGCCUGUUUUUAAUAAGUGUGCCUUGCUAAUUCCCCUGCAUUUGCUUAAUGAACAUGAGAGCUGCAGAGCAGAAUCAGGGUGUUCUUGAACCGCAUGCAGCUAAACACAUGCUCGCUUAGGUGUUUGAUGAAUGCAAAGCUGACGUUUAAGGUGUGCUAAGGGAGAUGUCCAAAAUUAUAGAUGUUCCUAUUAAUUUAUUAAUGCAAUUAAUUAGUCAACAAAUAGUUAUUAACUAUAGCUGCUAUUUAUUGGGAACUUGUUAUGAGCCAAGCCUGUGCUAAAACAUUGUUUAAUCAUCACUGAAUUCCUGAGAAGCAGGAACCAUUAUCUCUACUUUCCCAAAGGCACGAUAACAAUCAGAGACAAGAUUUGACUCCAGACCUGUUUUACUACAGAGCCUCUGCUCUAAAUCAGUCUCAUGCUGAUUUAGAGCCACCAAAUUACAGGGAAAUUCCCUGUUGGAGAAUAUAAAACCAUAUAUCUAUGGCCCCUAACUGCUUGCUAUAAGUUUAUGGUAUCUUCACGUACUAGGGCAUACACAUAAACUGUUAACCAGUGACUCAGGACAGCUUGUCAGCUCCCAGUGAUGGCACGGAAAGUAAGUGCUGCAGCAUUCAAGGGUGCGUGUGAUCCUGUCCUGGAGUUACCAAGAAUGUUUCCAACGGGGAAGAUCAUGAACAGGCUUUCUGGUAGUGGUUUUGGGAGAGGAGGCUUGAAGGCAGCCCAGGCUAAUGUUUUCAUAAGUUCUGGGUAGGUUAGAAGGUGAGGGCAGACAGUCUAAAAGCACCUUUGCAUGUGCUUGCAAAAAUCUAAAGAGAAAAGAUUCAUUUCCAUGGUCACUGUAGUAGCUAACGUAGUUUCAAUCUACGGUAACAUAGAUUUUUAACAUAGUUAGAUAACAUAGUAUUUAACACAGUUCAUAUCUAUGGUAACAAGCCUAUAAUAAAGCUAAUAAUACUACCACC
rnacentral:lncRNA from 10 species